CGAGCGGCGGACGGCUGAGUAACGCGUGGGAACAUGCCCCAAAGUGAGGGAUAACGCACCGAAAGGUGUGCUAAUACCGCAUAUGGUCUUCGGAUUAAAGGAUUUAUCCGCUUUGGGAGUGGCCCGCGUACGAUUAGGUUGUUGGUGAGGUAAUGGCUCACCAAGCCUACGAUCGUUAACUGGUCUGAGAGGAUGAUCAGUCAGACUGGAACUGAGACACGGUCCAG
rnacentral:rRNA from 1 species